rnacentral:piRNA from 1 species
UCCCUCCUCGACACGUUUACGUUGUGGUUC